rnacentral:rRNA from 1 species
GAUGAACGCUGGCGGCGUGCCUAAUACAUGCAAGUCGAACGAGGUGCUUUUGUAGCAAUACGAAAGUAUCCUAGUGGCGAACGGGUGAGUAACGCGUUGGUGACCUACCCCAAAGUGUGGGAUAACAGUCCGAAAGGAUUGCUAAUACCGCAUGUGGUUAUUGGAUUUAGAAACUGAUAACUAAAGGAGCAAUUCGCUUUGGGAGGGACCUGCGUCCCAUCAGCUAGUUGGUGAGGUAACGGCUCACCAAGGCUACGACGGGUAGGGGACCUGAGAGGGUGA